UCCUUUUUGAAAGAGGUCUUUUAUUGGAGCGCAGGGGGGCACACGAUAUCACACGCGUGUUAGGGCAUCGCCGUACACUAUGCUGCGCGCGCCACAGGUGUAGCGACCUUCGGCGACCAUGCAACCCUAUUGCAGUAUCACUGACUUGUCCCGGUGACUCACUCAUCUCAUGACUGCAAGUCCGUACCCCCACCCCCGUACCCCUUCUUACCCAUCCCUCACCCCUCUUCCGUGGGCAGCUGUCACUUUGUUCUCGUAUUUAUAGGUCUGAUUCUGCUUUGUUCGUUUUUUCAUUUGCUUUGCCUUUUACAUCUCAUGUGUGAGUGAGAUCGUGGGGUGCUUGUGUUCCUCUAACUUAUUUCCCUUAGAUAAUGCUCUCGAGGUCCAUCCCCAUGGUCGCAAGUCGCACAAUCGCAUCCUUUUUCAUUGCUGCGUGAGACUCCAUCCACAUCUUCCUUGGGGCCAUUCAGCGAUGCCCCCUUGACUCCAGGUGGCUCUUUGCCUCUGUCCUGAAGGAGUUGUCCCUGCUUACUGCCUCCCCCUCACCGCGUUACCCCCACCCCCAAGCCCCCCUUCUACUCCGCGGCAGCUGCUUCCACCGGGACCAUGAGUGUCACCCGCUCUGGUAGCUUCCAGAGCCUCAGGUCGACCUGCCCAGAUGCACAAACCCAGGCCAGCGCCGACUGGGCCCGGCUUGGUCCCCCACCCUCGCUUCUCUUACUGGGUUCCCCGCUCCAGCACGUGGCCGAGCCAGAAACUCAGGAGCCUGGAGCAGGUGCUUGCUGUGUCUGAGCUGCCUCCCCUGGGCACACCCAAUUCAGCACAGCAAUCGUCACCAGUCCCGGGCACACGGCCUGGGUCCCACCUCAAGCGCCUCAGCACCCACCAGGCUUUGCGGUGGCCACAGGAGGCCGUUAGCAGGAGGUGGCGGGAUAAUGCCCCUGGACCGAUGUGACGGCUAAUUCUAUGUGUCAGCUUGACUGGGCCACGGGGUGCCAGAUGUCUGGUCAAAGUGCUUCUGGAUGUGUCUGUAAGUGUGUUUUCAGAUGAGAUUAACACGCGCAUUGGUAGACUGAACAAAGAAGACUGACCCCCCUCGUUCCAGGGGCUUCAUCCAAGCAGCUGAAGGUCUGAAUAGAACAGGAAGACUGGCCCUCUUGUGAGUGAGAAGCAAUUCCUCCUGCCUGAUUAUUUGAGUUGGAGCAUCAGGUUUUUUCCUGCCUUCAGAAUUGAGCUGAGGCACCCGGGUGGCUCAGCGGUUGAGCGUCUGCCUUUGGCUCAGGUCGUGACCCGGGGUCCUGGGAUCGAGUCCUGCAUCAGCCUCCCUGCAGGGAGCCUGCAUCUCCCUCUGCUGUGUCUCUGCCUCUGUGUGUCUCUUGUGAAUAAAUAAAAUCUUUAAAAAGAAAAACAGAAUUGAGCUGAAACAUUGGGUUUUUCUGGGUCGUCCAGCUUGCUGGCCACAGAGUUUUGGAACUUCACAUUGUCAAUCUUCAUAAUCACGUGAGCCAAUUCAUUAUAAUAAAUAUCUAUCUCUCCAUCCUGCUGGUUCUGUUUCUCUGGAGAACCUAAUUCAGGUAACCAUCAACCAGUGGGAAAUGGGAGCCCGUGGAUAAAUGCCUCAGCUCCCUGGGCUUCCGAGAGACGGUGAGAGGAGCACCGCACAUGGUCACUUGCUCCAUGUACCUGUCGUGUACCUGUCGUGUACCUGAAUGGGGGCCUCUCCCUUCCCUGCCUUGCUGCCUCUGUGCUCACCUCCUGCUUCCCGGACUCACUCCUGCACCCAUAGCUGAGUCCCAGGCUUGCUGGUGGCAAGACCCGACCUGGAGACAUCCUAGGCGCCGCCCGCUUCCCCGACAGACACGGCCACUCAGGCCCUGGUCCGGUGGAUCCCACCCCUAGGUCUGUCUGUCACUGUCUAUACUGGUUUCCUGUGGCUGCUGUUAACAAAGUCGCAAGACUCGGUGGAUUGAAACAACAGAAAGGUGUUUCUCAUAGUCCUGGGGGACAGAGGUCAGGGAGCAGUGUGUCUGGGCUGAAAUCAAGGUGUCAGCGGGCCUACGCUCCUUCCAGAGGCUCUCGGGGUGCAUCUGGCCUGCGCCUUUCCCAGUUUUCUGUGGUUAUUGGCGUUCCCUGGCUCGUGGCCACAUCACUCCUCUCUUUGCUUCCGAGGUCACAUCGCCGCCACCUCUACUGUGUGGGUCCAAUUUCCCCCCUGCCUCCCUCUUAUAAGGAUCAAUGUGGUGGCAUUUAGGGUCCACCUGGGUAAUCCCAGAUAAUCACCCCAUCUUCAAAUAAUCACAGCUGUAAAGUUUGUGUGUGUGUGUGUGUGUGUGUGUGUGUGUUGGUAAAAGCUCACAUUCAUUCACAGAUCCAAGGAUCAGAACCUGACAUCUUUGGGGAGCUGUUAUUGAACGAGCACAAUCAUACCAUUACCCCUCCCAUGGCCUCCUUUCUGGCCCUAUCAAAUCCAUUCUCCGGGCUGUAACCAGAGAUGCCCUUCUGGAAGGCAAACCUGCUCUGGUCUCCCCAUGCUCACGGACCUGGGAUGGCUUUCUGCUGCCUGUGGACGUGGUGCCGAUGGCCUAGCCAAGGCCAAGGCCUCCUGCACAGUCCCUUGCUCCCCAGCUCCAGCCCCAGAUGCCUGGGGGGCCAGGGAGGCUCUGGGCCCCGUGAGUGCACAGAGGGCACGGCUCCAGUGUCCAGCUGACAGGCAGGAAUGCAGAUGCCAGAUUUUUAAGAGAACCCCAAAACCCAAUGUUGGUUUGGUUUGGUUUUGAGUGUAAAAUCUCUUGGUAUUUAACUGUUGGCAGCAGAUUAGAAAAAGAAACAAAUAUGACCCAGUACAGGCUACACAGAGCGGUCUGCAAGCUGCCCCUUUGCAACCUCUGCCCAACAGCUGGAUCAAGCGGCUCCUGCUGCCCCAGGCCUUUGCCUGCUCUCACCCCUUUGCUGGCAACGGUCCCCUGGCCAUCCCGCUCCAGCCUCAUAUGCUCCUGGUCUGACUCAUCUCUGCUCUCCUUUGUUCUUAGUUUCUGCCUCUGGUAGGAUGACUCCUGCCCCGGCUCACGUCCUCCUGCAGGGACGGUGCCUGCCUGCGGGUCUGUCUUCCCCCAGACCAUGAGCCCCUGAAAGCUGAGGACGAAACCCCUAGUAGCAGAGACUCUGGCCCGUCGGGAACGCUCAACAGAUAUUUGCACUCUGAAGACUAUGUCUUCACCCUUAAGAAAACAACCAAUGUUUUAUUUUCAGAACCCAGCCACGAAAUCACCAAAUUUGGAAGUAUAAAUAUGGGUUAAAGUUGUCCCAAAAUGAGCUCUUAAAUUUAGACGUACGGAUUGUUUGGUCUACUCCGGCACAGGACAGACGGGGGGGGAGGGGGGGGGCGCGCAAAAAAUAGAUGCCGUCUGCAUCUUCUGGGCAGAUUCAGGGUUCCCUGCUCUGAACGCGGUUGGCUGUGGGCACUGGGCCGCUCACCCCGCCUUCAGCACGUGGACGCCCGCACCCAUCCGCACGGAGGUUUGCACACCCCCUUACCCAAGUGCACCCGCUCUGCUACGAGCACCACUAGUCAUUCUCAGGAGUGCGAAGGGCAAUCGCUUUGCUGCCUCGCGUAUACCGACUUGGCCUUACUUGGCAUUGUAGCAUCCCGAGCCCCCGACCAGGAAGGAGGGAGGUGUCACCACUUUAGGAAAAUUAAUUAUUACUGGGAAGGGACACCACAAAGCGUAGGAUGGUCCCCCCCCCCAAAAAAAAAGAAAGCCUGUUAAGAGAGUUCAUUUUACAAUAACCAAUACCAAGUAAUGAAGCCAAAGUCCAGAGAUUAACUCGUGCAAUCAAUCUUUGUUCUAGAUGGGUUUAGGGGAGGGGUCCGCCAGCAUCUAUUUGGCCUAAACGAGCCGGAACAGUCGCUCCUGAGACAGAACAGAGCAACUUUGUGCUUUCCAAACUGUCUGCCAGCAGCACACAUCACCCUCAGAAUCUAGCAAAAAGGAUGAAAUUUUUUAAGUGUGUGUGGAAACUGUUAACUCAACUGGCAGAGGCUUCCCAAGAGCCCACGAUGCCGAUGGACUCGGGGUGGGGGGUGCUGAGGGUGCGGGCACAAUGGGAGGCGGGCGAGACUUUGCUCUCCAGGCAUUUGCCACACACUUUGGGGAACAUGAGCUCCACGAGUGGGGCUCAGGCCACGGCAGGGGCUGUGCUUGGUGGGCAGGCAACAGGGUGAGGCCGGGGCGGGGCGGUGGGGCGGGUUGAGAGGGUCUCGUGUCCCAGGAGAAAACCUUCUGGGCUUUCAGUUGUUAUUUUAUUAAAGACUUACUUAUUUGACAGAGAGAGAGAGAGAGAGAGCACGCAUGUGAGCAGGGGAGGGGCGGAGGGAGAGAGAGAAUCCUCAAGCCGACUCCGCACCGAGUGUGGAGCCCGACGCGGGGCUCGAUCUCACCACCCUGAGAUCAUGACCUGAGCUGAAACCAAAAGUCGGAUACUUACCCGACGGAGCCACCCAGGCGCCCCUUCCUUGCUAUUUGAAUACUGCUUUCAUUUCACUGUGGACGUGUGCCACAUCUCGGUGUUCUUGUCACUCAUGCCACUGAAGCAAAGGACUCGCUAAAGGAACAAAAUCUGGCACCAGUGUGUUCUUUCCAAGGAGGGAGACCCGGGUUUUGGCCGGAAUCCUGAUGGCUUGUGCGGCUGGGACCCCUCCUGAGAAGCCUUGACUAGGCGCCCUGGCUCCGUGAGGGGACCAUUUCGGUGCCCGGGGGACACAAGCGACGCUGAUUAAAUCUCGAUGGGUUACCGGUUCCCCCAAGCAUCUUCUCUAACCCUGGACACAAGCAAAGCCUAACGGCCCUUGGGAGCGCCCUGCAGACAGAGUGGGGUCAUGCCUGUUGAGGACCUGCUAGAGAGAACUAAGCAAAUCUGGGGAGCUCCUGGGCUCCCCUAAGUCGGUACUUAGAUAUCACUGUGAACCUCAGCCUCAGCCGAGAUCUGAAACGCUCGCUCCAUGGAUGGGACUCAUCUGGGGAGCAGAAGGUGUUUUCACCCAAGGAGAUGAGGUGGUGCCCAGGGGUCCCUAAGCUUGAGAGGCGUCCAGCCCUGGGGCCCUUCCUUCUGCCUCCUGCCUGGUGCAAGCCUGACCACCCACCACAGGGAAGAGGGACUUUGUUUAACGAAAAAAAAAAAAAAAAAAAAA
rnacentral:lncRNA from 1 species